AAAAUCCCUCGCAAACCGAACCCUACCUUCUCCUCCUCUCUCUCCCCUUCCUGCCGCCGCGCGCCGCCCUCUCCCUUCUCGCCCGCGCACGCACGCCUCCUGGCUCGCCGCUGGAUACUCUACUGUCGCUCGAGCAACCGAAUCCGCACAGCCUCGGCGGCACAGGGGAGCGUCUCCCCAGCCGCGUGCAGAUUGGACGGACCUUGUCGGCCAAUGCGGCGGCCAUGGUCCGCGGAGGAGGAAGCGCCCACCCAAUCGCCAUCCUCUUCGUCCGUGCUUCCCUCAGAAGCUGCCCAAGGCUGAGGCUCAGACAUCGCCGAUGCCGUCGCUCUCCAGGAGGCUUGCCGCGGCGGAGGUGGUGUGGAUGUGCUGUCACCUCCAGACUCUCUCGAUCUCCUGCUAAAAGCCCUCAAGAGCAAGAAGUUCACCAGUCUUGAUGUCUUCCGCACCAAGGCAUGAAGUUUCCAACGCGCAUGUUUGGAUGUCCUCCUUUGAUCCAUGCCUUGCAUUGUAGUAUGAAGGUUUGCUCAGCAGGGAUGUCUCCUUCCCCUAUUCUUUUUUUUCUGUCUCUUUGAAUCCUACUUACUCAAUACAUUGAGUCUCGAUUCAUAUGUUUUACAUACUGGGCCGAAAUUAGUUGGAAGCUCCACAUGGUGAUUGGUAAUGUUCUUCUCUAUUGCUUUGGUGCCUUCCAAGUGUUCGAUGAAAUGUUUAGCUAGCAUAUACAACAUUUUUUAUUAUGUUUAGGUUAUCACUGAUGUAACUUUUCCCCUAAAUUUAAGCAACCAUUCUUGCUACCAUGUUAGCAUCUUAACAAGCUGAUAGCUUAUUUUAUUAUUCCUGUUCUUUAUCAGAGUUCCUACAUCCAAUUGGUGCCUCAUUGUUGAUGAACCACGUGGAAGCAUACAGUUCGUGUUUUGGUGAAUUACAUAAAGGUCACCCAAGCACUUGGAAUGAUGCAUGACCUAAGUAAUUUGAUGCCUACAUGAUGCCUUUAUGCUUGAUCCAAGAAACUGCACAUGGCAUGGUCAUCCUAGAUGGAAUUAUAGUUCUGCUGACUAUCAUAACAAACAUAUUUGCAUAGAGGAAGCUACACGGCAUGUAAAAUUCUUCUGUUUACUUUUAGCUUUGUAUAUCCUAGAUAGAGCUACACAUCUUGGUUGUACACUUCCAUCCAUUUAUGUGUCUGCAUAGAUGAACUUUACUUGAUGCAAACACCAAUUGUACCAUAGAGCAAAGUGGUGUAUAUUUUUCUUAAAUAACAAUUAUCAUGUUGAGCACAUUCACGUGUAAGGCAGAGAUUGUAAUGCAUGUUAUAUCUACAAAGAUAGCUUGUCGCUAAUUGUUUC